CUGCUGGAAGGGAGGUGAGUCACGGGGCACGUGGGCUGGUACACCUGCACCGCCUUCUGGGGAAUACAUGAAACGGGACGCGCGCGAUGAAGUGGGGUGGUGUUUAGGGUUGGCCUCGAUAAGAUGUAACAAAAAAUGUUUUACUUCUGUCCCACCUGUGCCAAUCUCCUGAUUGUGGAGGAGAGUUCUGAGACCUUGUUGUGGUCCUUGAUUCCCAUUCUCGCUCUUACCCACCCCCUGCACCUUUCCAUUGGCCGCGGGAAGCAUGGUGAGUGGGAUCCGGGCAGCCAAGCGCAUGUGUGCAAGCAGCCCUGACCGCGCGCCGGGCCCGAGCAGCUGACGGGCGGCUGAUGAUGGUGAAGGUGAUGAUGAGCCCCCUGCAUUGGCACCACCCAAACGGCACCUUUAUCGGGGCCUGUGCGUGUGUGGCUGUGCCCAUCGUGGGCCCAGGCUCGUCAGUCUGCCAAUUCCUGCCUUCCACAUGUUGUGCAGGACCUCUUUCUUUUCUUCCAUCUCUUCCUUUUCAAAAAGAAGAGAUGGAAGAAAAGAAAGGGGUCCCGCACAACAUGUAGA